rnacentral:rRNA from 1 species
GCAGGCGGCUUGGUAAGUCGGACGUGAAAUCCCUCAGCUUAACUGGGGAACUGCGUCUGAUACUGGUUGGCUUGAGUGCAGGAGAGGAACGCGGAAUUCCAGGUGUAGCGGUGAAAUGCGUAGAUAUCUGGAGGAACACCGGUGGCGAAGGCGGCGUUCUGGACUGCAACUGACACUGAGGAACGAAAGCCAGGGGAGCAAACGGG